UACGUAGGUGGCAAGCGUUGUCCGGAUUUACUGGGCGUAAAGAGCGCGCAGGCGGUCGUUCAAGUCGCGUGUGAAAGCCCCCGGCUCAACUGGGGAGGGUCACGCGAUACUGAUCGACUCGAAGGCAGGAGAGGGUAGUGGAAUUCCCGGUGUAGUGGUGAAAUGCGUAGAUAUCGGGAGGAACACCAGUGGCGAAGGCGACUACCUGCCUGUUCUUGACG
rnacentral:rRNA from 1 species